rnacentral:lncRNA from 1 species
GAGAGAAAGUAUGUGAAGAGCUUAAUCCGCAGCGGGUCUAUCUGUGCGCGUGUGUGCGCAGAGCCUGGCCUCCCAGGGCCGGUCACCCCUGCGGCUCAGGGCUCUGUGUGUGUGUGUGUGCACUUGUGUGUGCACGUGCGUGUGCACGCCUGAGACCGUGGUGGGCGUGGAGUCCAGACAUGGCGGGGCUGCCUUCAGGGCGAGUCCUGGUCUCAGCGGGCGCUGCGGUGGGCUGUCCAGACACCUGAGAAAAGCUCGGCUCGCUAGAUCGCUAGAACGCCCGCCCCCCAGGCCACCUGCCCCGGCUCCAGGAGGGGCCGCCCCUUCCUUCCUCCUGGGGAUGCGGAGAACAACACAGCCACCCAGGAAACACGUGUGCGCUGGGCCAUGGGGGCGGCGGAGGUGCUUGGAGCGGGUGGUCGACGCACUUUUUCUAGAUCCAGCCCCAGAAGGAACGGGGGCCGCCCUUCCGGGCUCUGCAUGUGACAAUUGCCAAGGCCCCGAGGUGGCCAGGAGUCUGUGCGGGUUCCAAAAGCGAGAAGUCUGAAAUUGGUACCACUGAGCUGAAAUCAAGGCGUCGGCAGGGCUGAGCUCCCUCCAGAGGCCCUCGGGGGGGGGAAUCCGUUCCUUGCUUCGUCCAGCUGCUCGAGGUUGCCUGCGUUCCUUGGCUCGUGGCCCCUUCCUCCAUCUUCACAGCCAGCACGUAGCAUCUCGCCUCAGUGAUCACGUAGCCAUCUCCUCUUCUCUCCUCUCUGUGUCAAGUCCCCCACUGCCUUCCUCUGACAAGGACACUUGUGACUGUGUUUGGGGUGCAUCCGGAUAAUCCAACACAACAAGAUCCUUCCAUUAAUCACAUGUGCAGAGUCUCUUUAGUAACAUUCACAGGUCCAGGGAUGAAGAUGUGGAUAUCUUUGGGGGUCUGUAUUCAGCCCACCACAUGCACCACUUACUAGCUGUGUGUCUUGGGCAAAUUCCCUCACCUCUCUGUGCCUCAGUUUCCUCAUUUUCAGCAAAGACAUAUUUUAGUACCUACAUUAUAAGCUGUGAAGAUUAAGUAUAGAGUGCUGAGCAGAGGGCUGGGCACACAGUAG